GGCAACAGGCAGCAGAGAGGCGGCUGCCUGACCAGAUGAGACACACACAGACGUUGUUUGCGACACUCACUGCAGGCCGGGACUAGUGCAAUUUGUAUUUUCGCAUAACAACAAAUAAGCACCAGGCACGACCUACAUCAGAAGAACUCUACUCCCCCGGCUUCUUGGUUUUAGAACAUCUUUGUGCGGGCGAGAGAACAAUGGAUCGGAGGCCAAGGAUCAGAGAGCUGAGUUCUGCCCAUGAGAGCGAAACUAAAGUACCUUUGGCCUAGCAGGCAAAUACGCCCCCAACAACCCAGCAACAUGAACGAGAGCUCCAAGCUGCUCGAAUUCGUGCUCAAGACUUAGGCUGCCCCAUUGAGCAAUUGUAAGGCAGCCGGCCCAGAACGACCACUAAUAUCGGAGAGCGGAAACGCAAAUAGACGCGCGAUAAAAAAGAAUAAGAGAAU